CCUCUGAUAGCUCAGUUGGUAGAGCGGUGGACUGUAGUGUUGAGCACACGGGCAUCCAUAGGUCGCUGGUUCAAGUCCGGCUCAGAGGA
rnacentral:tRNA from 1 species